UCUGGGUAUUGAUUGGUGCUUGCAUCAUGAUUUACAUUUGAGUGAGUGGCGAACUGGUGAGUAACACGUGGGAAACCUGCCCAGAAGCGGGGGAUAACACCUGGAAACAGAUGCUAAUACCGCAUAACAACUUGGACCGCAUGGUCCGAGUUUGAAAGAUGGCUUCGGCUAUCACUUUUGGAUGGUCCCGCGGCGUAUUAGCUAGAUGGUGGGGUAACGGCUCACCAUGGCAAUGAUACGUAGCCGACCUGAGAGGGUAAUCGGCCACAUUGGGACUGAGACACGGCCCAAACUCCUACGGGAGGCAGCAGUAGGGAAUCUUCCACAAUGGACGAAAGUCUGAUGGAGCAACGCCGCGUGAGUGAAGAAGGGUUUCGGCUCGUAAAACUCUGUUGUUAAAGAAGAACAUAUCUGAGAGUAACUGUUCAGGUAUUGACGGUAUUUAACCAGAAAGCCACGGCUAACUACGUGCCAGCAGCCGCGGUAAUACGUAGGUGGCAAGCGUUGUCCGGAUUUAUUGGGCGUAAAGCGAGCGCAGGCGGUUUUUUAAGUCUGAUGUGAAAGCCUUCGGCUCAACCGAAGAAGUGCAUCGGAAACUGGGAAACUUGAGUGCAGAAGAGGACAGUGGAACUCCAUGUGUAGCGGUGAAAUGCGUAGAUAUAUGGAAGAACACCAGUGGCGAAGGCGGCUGUCUGGUCUGUAACUGACGCUGAGGCUCGAAAGUAUGGGUAGCAAACAGGAUUAGAUACCCUGGUAGUCCAUACCGUAAACGAUGAAUGCUAAGUGUUGGAGGGUUUCCGCCCUUCAGUGCUGCAGCUAACGCAUUAAGCAUUCCGCCUGGGGAGUACGGCCGCAAGGCUGAAACUCAAAGGAAUUGACGGGGGCCCGCACAAGCGGUGGAGCAUGUGGUUUAAUUCGAAGCUACGCGAAGAACCUUACCAGGUCUUGACAUACUAUGCAAAUCUAAGAGAUUAGACGUUCCCUUCGGGGACAUGGAUACAGGUGGUGCAUGGUUGUCGUCAGCUCGUGUCGUGAGAUGUUGGGUUAAGUCCCGCAACGAGCGCAACCCUUAUUAUCAGUUGCCAGCAUUAAGUUGGGCACUCUGGUGAGACUGCCGGUGACAAACCGGAGGAAGGUGGGGAUGACGUCAAAUCAUCAUGCCCCUUAUGACCUGGGCUACACACGUGCUACAAUGGAUGGUACAACGAGUUGCGAACUCGCGAGAGUAAGCUAAUCUCUUAAAGCCAUUCUCAGUUCGGAUUGUAGGCUGCAACUCGCCUACAUGAAGUCGGAAUCGCUAGUAAUCGCGGAUCAGCAUGCCGCGGUGAAUACGUUCCCGGGCCUUGUACACACCGCCCGUCACACCAUGAGAGUUUGUAACACCCAAAGUCGGUGGGGUAACCUUUUAGGAACCAGCCGCCUAAGGUGGGAC
rnacentral:rRNA from 1 species